AUUGAACGCUGGCGGCAGGCCUAACACAUGCAAGUCGAGCGAGCGGCGGACGGGUGAGUAAUGUAUGGGGAACUGCCCGAUGGAGGGGGAUAACUACUGGAAACGGUAGCUAAUACCGCAUACUAUCAGAUGAGCCCAUAUGGGAUUAGCUAGUAGGUGGGGUAAUGGCUCACCUAGGCGACGAUCCCUAGCUGGUCUGAGAGGAUGACCAGCCACACUGGAACUGAGACACGGCCCAGACUCCUACGGGAGGCAGCAGUGGGGAAUAUUGCACAAUGGGCGCAAGCCUGAUGCAGCCAUGCCGCGUGUAUGAAGAAGGCCUUAGGGUUGUAAAGCACUUUCAGCGGGGAGGCGUUACCCGCAGAAGAAGCACCGGCUAACUCCGUGCCAGCAGCCGCGGUAAUUC
rnacentral:rRNA from 1 species